CCUACGGGGGGCAGCAGUGAGGAAUAUUGGUCAAUGGACGAGAGUCUGAACCAGCCAAGUAGCGUGAAGGAUGACUGCCCUAUGGGUUGUAAACUUCUUUUAUAUGGGAAUAAAAUGUUCCACGUGUGGGAUUUUGUAUGUACCAUAUGAAUAAGGAUCGGCUAACUCCGUGCCAGCAGCCGCGGUAAUACGGAGGAUCCGAGCGUUAUCCGGAUUUAUUGGGUUUAAAGGGAGCGUAGGUGGAUUGUUAAGUCAGUUGUGAAAGUUUGCGGCUCAACCGUAAAAUUGCAGUUGAAACUGGCAGGCUUGAGUACAGUAGAGGUGGGCGGAAUUCGUGGUGUAGCGGUGAAAUGCGUAGAGAUCACGAAGAACUCCGAUGGCGAAGGCAGCUCACUGGACUGCAACUGACACUGAGGCUCGAAAGUGUGGGUAUCAAACAGGAUUAGAUACCCUUGUAGUC
rnacentral:rRNA from 1 species